rnacentral:lncRNA from 1 species
GACUGAAAUAGAGGGAGGGGAAAGGAAGGGAGGGUAAGAGAAUGAGAAAGGAAUUAAGAUGUGUUAUGGACAGCGGUGCCUCUAUUCACAAACUUCAUUUGUUCCACCAUUCUAGGGAAAAUGGCUGCAUUUGUGUUCAUGUGGGAAAGAUGGCCACGGUCAUGUUCAUCACGUAAUGCAAUUUUGAAACAAAAAAUUCUGCCAAACGCUUCUAUUUGCAAACCAAAUUUUCACAAACAAAAGCAUAUGUGAGCUGAGGCACUACUGCACAUGGACCAAGUCCCCACAAGGAAGGGUUCAAGGCCAUGACUUGUACGGUCACAGAGUUUCGAGAAACAGUGCCACCACUGGGCCCCGGAGGCCACACCUUGUGUGUCUGCAUGUGUUUCUUGACAUUGGACUUCUGCUCGAAGGCGCGGCCACACGCGAUGCGCUGGAAGGGCUUCUCCCCCGUGUGGCUCCGGAUGUGCUGCUGCAGGUCGAAGUUCUUCAUGAAAGACUUGUCACAGUAGGAGCACUUGAGCUUCUGAGCCUUUGGCUUCCCUGCAGCUUCCGGGAGUCCACCAGCACCUUUAGCCCGUCGGGUCUUCAGCGUCGACGGGGGUUCAAAGGUGUCCACCGUGCCCACAGUGGCACCGGAGAGAGGGGCAGCAGGGUUUGGUCCUUUCGGUUUGAAUCCCUGCUUGCCGGGGCUGUACACGGGGGGCGUGGGGGUACACAGGAGCCUCCACACAGUGGCUGGGCACCUCCAGGGGUGGGUAGGGCUGCAUCUCCAAUGCCUGGAUCUCCACUGUUCCACUCCCAGCCAGGGGCACAUUGGCACUGUACACCUCCACCACACCACUGCCACCAGGGUUGGGGUGCCUGGUGGGGCUCAGGCUUUGAGGGGGAGGGGGAGGAGGUUGCGGAGGUGGGGGUGGAGGAGGCGGCGGAGGCUGGGUGAGGUAGCUGGGCACUGAAUGCAUGUUCAGGCUGCUCUGCACAGGGGGUGGGGCCGGGGGCGUGGGCUGGUCCAGGGAGGUGAAGGCCGACAUGGCAGACAUGAGCACGUCGUCGCUCACCAGGAUGUUCCCCUGCAUCAGGGUCUGCAUCAGUGGGGAUGGGGGCACUGUGAUAUAUGUGGAGAUCUUCAAGAUAUUGCUGAAGCCUCACCACCUACACCCUGCUCAAGUCACCACCAUCCAUGGCUUGGACUGUGGAACAGCCCCCAGGUGGGUCUCCUGCCUUGUUCCGUCUUGCUCUUGUCAAAAUCUACUCUCCAUACAGCAGCCAGAGAGACCUCCAGCGCCCAGCUCUGUGCCUGACACACAGUAAGAAUUCCAAUGGACCUGCUGCUGUGAUCGAACAAACGAAAGGGGUAGAAUGGUAUUUUGCAG